CCUACGGGUGGCAGCAGUGGGGAAUAUUGCGCAAUGGGCGAAAGCCUGACGCAGCGACGCCGCGUGAGGGAUGAAGGUCUUCGGAUCGUAAACCUCUGUCAGCAGGGAAGAACGGUCACUGUGCUAAUCAGCAGUGAAUUGACGGUACCUGCAAAGGAAGCACCGGCUAACUCCGUGCCAGCAGCCGCGGUAAUACGGAGGGUGCGAGCGUUAAUCGGAAUUACUGGGCGUAAAGCGCUCGUAGGCGGUAUGUCAAGUCAAGGGUGAAAUGCCCGGGCUCAACGUGGGAAGUGCCUUUGAAACUGGCAAACUGGAGUGUGUGAGAGGAUAGUGGAAUUCCAGGUGUAGGAGUGAAAUCCGUAGAUAUCUGGAGGAACAUCAGUGGCGAAGGCGACUAUCUGGCACAUAACUGACGCUGAGGAGCGAAAGCGUGGGUAGCAAACAGGAUUAGAUACCCCAGUAGUC
rnacentral:rRNA from 1 species